UGCAUUAACGAACCAUAUUUAUAAAUUUUUGGAGACCUAGCAAACUCGCGUCAACUAUUUAAUGUGUUGUCGUUUAAUAGAUUAAAUAGAAACAUUAAAAGUCCUACCCAACAAACACUUGUACUGUAAUGUAUUACAUAAAACUACAUUUUAAAAUUUAUAACUUAAUUUUAUAAUUGAACGUUACAUCAUUUCGUUCGUAGAAAUAAGUUUUUAAUAAAUGCAUCGAACUAUCAUGCAUUUAAACUUGAAUCAUCUUUAAAUGACUCGAGAAUGCAGAAUGCACCUGAGUGCACCCUCAGAAUUGUGUAAACAAAGAGGGAAGUUAUUAGAAUAGAUAAAACACUCGACAACGUCAAUCGCUCACUUAACCUAAUAUCCAUUGUAUACUAUACUUGGAUUCGAUUGGAUGAUCAUUGACAAAUUUAUCGACUAGUCAAAGAAACAUCAAGAGUAGCAGUGGAUGUAAAAAUUGCAGAUGCUUCGAAGAACUUUAGAAGCGAUUAAAAACAACAUAUUAUAUUAUAAUGACAGAAAUGUUGAGAUAGAGUGAAAAACUAUACGAUUUGAUAAGUUUUAACAAAAACAAAUGGGCCCCUGAGACAAAGUUCAGCCUUAUCUACUUUAGCUAAAUGUUCUGAUAAAAGCUGGUCGUAAGCUGCGGUCACCUUUGGCAGAUGUUAAGAUGUAUACAGGGCUCUCUUCAGGCCCACUGUCAUCCUGUUGUGAGUGACCCUGAUGAUCGCUACCUGGAAGGCUACCAUAUUGCGGCGCAUCUUCGCUAUGCCCAGAGGCAGA